GUAACAGGGGUACCUCGUUCCCC
rnacentral:snRNA from 1 species